AGAGUUUGAUUAUGGCUCAGGAUGAACGCUGGCGGCGUGCUUAACACAUGCAAGUCGAACGAGGCUCUUUGAACGGAGGAUUCGUCUGAAGCGAUAAGAUGACUUAGUGGCGGACGGGUGAGUAACGCGUGGGGAAUCUGCCCCGUACCGGGGGAUAACACUUAGAAAUAGGUGCUAAUACCGCAUAAGCGCACGGUGUCGCAUGACACAGUGUGAAAAACUCCGGUGGUACGGGAUGAUCCCGCGUCUGAUUAGCCAGUUGGCAGGGUAACGGCCUACCAAAGCGACGAUCAGUAGCCGGCCUGAGAGGGUGAUCGGCCACAUUGGGACUGAGACACGGCCCAAACUCCUACGGGAGGCAGCAGUGGGGAAUAUUGGGCAAUGGGGGGAAACCCCUGACCCAGCAACGCCGCGUGAGGGAAGAAGGUUUUCGGAUCGUAAACCUCUGUCCUUGGUGAAGAGUGAGAGACGGUAGCCAAGGAGGAAGCCCCGGCUAACUACGUGCCAGCCGCCGC
rnacentral:rRNA from 1 species